rnacentral:rRNA from 1 species
AUUGAACGCUGGCGGCAGGCCUAACACAUGCAAGUCGGGCGCGCGGCGGAGGGGAGAGAAAUGUAUGGGGAUCUGCCUGAUGGAGGGGUAUAACUACUGGAAACGGUAGAUAAUACCGCACACCUUCAGCGGCCCCCAUAUGGGAUUAGAUUGUAGGUGAGGAAACGGCUCACCUAGGCGACGCUCCCUAGCUGGUCUGAGAGGAUGCUCAGCCACACUGGGACUGAGACACGGCCCAGACUCCUACGGGAGGCAGCAGUGGGGAAUAUUGGACAAUGGGGGCAAGCCUGAUGCAGCCAUGCCGCGUGUAUGAUGAAGGCCUUCGGGUUGUAAAGUACUUUCAGUCGGGAAGCGUUACCGACAGAAUAAGCACCGGCUAACUCCGUGCCAGCAGCCGCGGUAAUUC